rnacentral:rRNA from 1 species
ACGUAGGGAGCAAGCGUUGUUCGGAUUUACUGGGCGUAAAGGGCGCGUAGGCGGCCUGUCAAGUCAAUUGUGAAAUCUCCGAGCUUAACUCGGAGCGGUCAGCUGAUACUGCUUUGCUAGAGUGCAGAAAGGGCAAUCGGAAUUCUUGGUGUAGCGGUGAAAUGCGUAGAUAUCAAGAGGAACACCUGAGGCGAAGGCGGGUUGCUAGGCUGACACUGACGCUGAGGCGCGAAAGCCAGGGGAGCAAACGGGA